CGCUAUCAUCCUACGGGAGGCAGCAGUGGGGAAUAUUGCACAAUGGGCGCAAGCCUGAUGCAGCCAUGCCGCGUGUGUGAAGAAGGCCUUCGGGUUGUAAAGCACUUUCAGUCGUGAGGAAGGUAGUGUAGUUAAUAGCUGCAUUAUUUGACGUUUAGCGACAGAAGUAAGCACCGGCUAACUCCGUGCCAGCAGCCGCGGUAAUACGGAGGGUGCGAGCGUUAAUCGGAAUUACUGGGGCGUAAAGCGCAUGCAGGUGGUUUGUUAAGUCAGAUGUGAAAGCCCGGGGCUCAACCUCGGAAUAGCAUUUUGAAACUGGCAGACUAGAGUACUGUAGAGGGGGUAGAAUUUCAGGUGUAGCGGUGAAAAUGCGUAGAGAUCUGAAGGAAUACCGGUGGCGAAGGCGGCCCCCUGGACAGAUACUGACACUCAGAUGCGAAAGCGUGGGGAGCAAACAGGAUUAGAUACCCUGGUAG
rnacentral:rRNA from 1 species